rnacentral:rRNA from 1 species
UGCAACCUACCCGAUACUGGAGGAUAGCCCGAAGAAAUUCGGAUUAACACUCCAUAGUAUAGUGAAGAGGCAUCUCUUUAUUAUUAAAACUACGGUGGUAUCGGAUGGGCAUGCGUUGCAUUAGCUAGUUGGUGAGGUAAUGGCUCACCAAGGCUACGAUGCAUAGGGGAUCUGAGAGGAUUAUCCCCCACACUGGUACUGAGACACGGACCAG